rnacentral:rRNA from 1 species
GAGGGUGCAAGCGUUAAUCGGAAUUACUGGGCGUAAAGCGUGCGUAGACGGUUAUCUAAGUCGGGUGUGAAAGCCCCGGGCUCAACCUGGGAAUUGCAUUCGAGACUGAAUAGCUAGGGUGCGGAAGAGGGAAGCGGAAUUUCCGGUGUAGCGGUGAAAUGCGUAGAUAUCGGAAGGAACACCAGUGGCGAAAGCGGCUUCCUGGUCCAGCACCGACGUUCAGGCACGAAAGCGUGGGGAGCAAACAGGAUUAGAUACCCUGGUAGUCCACGCCAUAAACGAUGAGGACUAGACGUUGAGAGGGUAAGCCUCCCAGUGUCGCAGCUAACGCGAUAAGUCCUCCGCCUGGGGAGUACGGCCGCAAGGUUG